rnacentral:tRNA from 1 species
GCCGGUGUAGUUCAAUGGUAGAACGGAGGACUCAUAAGCCUUAGACAGUGGUUCGAUUCCACUCAUCGGCACAA